GUGCCAGCCGCCGCGGUAAUACGUAGGUGGCAAGCGUUGUCCGGAUUUACUGGGCGUAAAGGAUGUGUAGGCGGACAUUUAAGUGAGAUGUGAAAGCCCCGAGCUCAACUUGGGGACUGCAUUUCAAACUGGGUGUCUAGAGUGCAGGAGAGGAAAGCGGAAUUCCUAGUGUAGCGGUGAAAUGCGUAGAGAUUAGGAAGAACAUCAGUGGCGAAGGCGGCUUUCUGGACUGUAACUGACGCUGAGGCAUGAAAGCGUGGGGAGCAAACAGGAUUAGAAACCCGAGUAGUCC
rnacentral:rRNA from 1 species